rnacentral:lncRNA from 1 species
GGGAUUUGGAGGACCCAAAUUCGUUCGUGGAAGUGUCUGUUUCAACUUCAGAACCGUAGGAAUCUUCUUCUUCGUCAGAAUCCAUUCUUCACAUAUAUGUCCUGGAUCUUAUCUUGAAUCUCUGUUUGCUGACUCUUAGUCUCUCAUUCUGUGGCUUGUUUUAGAUUUGUUCGUUUCAAGUCGUGUGCUUACCAUCCCGAACUUGGGUUGGGAAUCUUUGGUAUCCUCCCAUUGCUAACUCAAAAGAGGUAUGCACUUUUUUCGUUUAUAUUCCCAUACUCAUUGGCUUAUUUUCCUCAUAACCUGUAAAGAGUUUUGAUUGUUUAGCUCUGACUAGAUAGUGCAUCCUCUCUGAAGAAAUAAAAUUUUGAUUCACUGCUCGAAUAUGACUGAAUCUUCGUUUUGGUAUACCUGCUUGCUUGGAGGUUUAAUCCCUAAUAAAUCUACUUCGUUAUAUCACUAAAUUUGUCAAUUUUAGUAGAAAAUGGCAUAGAUUUUGACUCCAAGUUUCAUUCUAUAAAGGAAUUUGAUUCUAGCAUAAGGUUGGACAGGCCUAUUUAGCUUUUGGAAAAGACUUGGCGCCGUGAAUUUUGCAACUGCAACCAUUGGUGCAAUAGGAUUACCAAUGAUUGCAGAUUGCAGGGUAGACUAAUAUGGAUUCUACUAUAAUUUUUCUGAGAGAAAGCUCAAUUCUCUUUUGAUUUUCAGAUGUUGAUGGAUUAUCAAAUGUGUGAGAAAAACGGCCACUUUUAAGACGAUCAGCUGGAUAAACUUUGUCUCCCUUGGUUGAUCGAGAAUGUUUCUUCCCUCUAAUGAGAAAGCUUCUAUGAUUUGUCUUCAAAAAGGAAAAUCCCUCAAUCUGGUGAAGUGCGCUGAUGUCUUUAACUCGAGUGUAACUGAACCUUAAAUUUUCAUAUCAAAGAGUUCUAUUUGGCAUACCUUGUUUGAUACUUUCUAUACACAGACGUCCAUGCACGCACACACGGUUAGGUUCAUUGGAACCCAGUGUGAUACUACGCCUGAGUUUUGGAAAAAACCGAUACAAAAAUCCAUCCUUUUUACAACUGUUGUAAAUAGGUUUUCCCUGGCCAUCUUGGUAUACAUUCACUGUAUUGUAGGAUCUUCUGUUGAUUGGGAUUUGGUGGAUGACAAUAAUUAUUCAACUACAUAAUUUUUAUGCCAUUAACUUUGAAAAUAAUAAUUACUAAAAAUUAUAUAUACGUUAACUGCUAAGUGUGGAUUUUUAGAAAAAAUUUCCAAGGUAGGAACAUUCUGUCCUAGUCGAUGACUUUUAGGAUCCCUAGACUUGAGUUUAUAUGGUCCUCCAUUAUUAGUUAUUGCUGGCAUUCUGCAUGUUCAAGUUUUUUUUUUCUUGAUUAACCAAACUAGAACCUUUGUCAUAGCGGCCCUUGUAAUAUAAUAUUUGUUGGUUUUCUAGAACGCCAGGUUUAUGUUCUAUGAUCUCUCGAGGUCAAUUACAUCUGUACUCUUAAGAGCAUAAAAUGUCAAUGUAUUGCCAACUCUAAACUCAUGAAUUCUAUGUGAACUAUUAAGCCUGGGACCACCUCUACCUUUGAAACCAUUGAUUCAAGUUGUUAGUCAUCUAGACAUUUAUUGCGUUUUUGGUUGCUCAAUCUUUCAGAUAUCUGUCAUGUGUUCACCAUCCUUGGCUCAUCAGCUUGUGCUCGUCAUGAAUCCUUUAUACCUGGUGCUGCUAGUUGCCUAUUUUUAUGUGCUCACUAUUCAUAAUGUUCGCAUGUCACUGUCUUCUUUGAAUUGUUGUUCGUCGUAUUUUAUAUGCUUGAAUAUCUUGAGGCACUAAAUUGGCUGACAGGACUCAUUCAGAAAACAGUGGUUUUAUCGGUGUGAGAUAUGGGUCAGAAAACUUAUCCAUUGGGACGUCAUUUGCUCCUUUCUCGU